UGUCCCGAUAGUAUAAAUAUUACUUUGGUCUUGUAAACCAAAAAUGAAGAAUAAUCUCUUCUCAGGACAUC
rnacentral:tRNA from 1 species